rnacentral:lncRNA from 1 species
CAAAAUCUGAUACCAAAUGAUACGGGGUUGCGCGCGGACCAAGAUCGAGUUGCCAAGUCACGGGAAACUCCUACGAAAACCCUAAACAAUCAGAUCCGAAACGAAACAGAAAAAUUAAAAGAUUAGAACUUUGAAUUUUCAGAUCUGAAAUAAAAUCCCCAAAUCAGCAAAGAAUCAAAUUGAGAAUAGAAAUAAGUGUUAGGGUUCUUGAAACCCUCAAGGAGAUUGUGAUUCUGCCCAAUUGAACACCAAGAUAGUUU